rnacentral:rRNA from 1 species
UGGGGAAUUUUGGACAAUGGGCGCAAGCCUGAUCCAGCCAUGCCGCGUGCAGGAUGAAGGCCUUCGGGUUGUAAACUGCUUUUGUACGGAACGAAAAGACUCUGGUUAAUACCUGGGGUCCAUGACGGUACCGUAAGAAUAAGCACCGGCUAACUACGUGCCAGCAGCCGCGGUAAUACGUAGGGUGCGAGCGUUAAUCGGAAUUACUGGGCGUAAAGCGUGCGCAGGCGGUUAUGCAAGACAGAUGUGAAAUCCCCGGGCUCAACCUGGGAACUGCAUUUGUGACUGUAUAGCUAGAGUACGGUAGAGGGGGAUGGAAUUCCGCGUGUAGCAGUGAAAUGCGUAGAUAUGUGGAGGAAUACCGAUGGCGAAGGCAGCCCCCUGGGCUAACACUGACGCUCAUGCACGAAAGCGUGGGGAGCAAACAGGAUUAGAUACCCCCGUAGUCCCUGAGCGGGCUGGCAAGGCGCAU